AGCGAACGCUGGCGGCAGGCUUAACACAUGCAAGUCGAGCGGGCACUUUCGGGUGUCAGCGGCGGACGGGUGAGUAACGCGUGGGAACGUGCCCUCUGGUUCGGAAUAACUCAGGGAAACUUGAGCUAAUACCGGAUACGCCCUUUUGGGGAAAGGCUUGCUGCCGGAGGAUCGGCCCGCGUCUGAUUAGCUAGUUGGUGAGGUAACGGCUCACCAAGGCGACGAUCAGUAGCUGGUCUGAGAGGAUGAUCAGCCACACUGGGACUGAGACACGGCCCAGACUCCUACGGGAGGCAGCAGGGGGGAAUAUUGGACAAUGGGCGCAAGCCUGAGCCAGCCAUGCCGCGUGAGUGAUGAAGGCCUUAGGGUUGUAAAGCUCUUUUAUCCGGGACGAUAAGGACGGUACCGGAGGAAUAAGCCCCGGCUAACUUCGU
rnacentral:rRNA from 1 species